UUUUAUUUCGGGAAUUUUUGACCGGGAAAAGGGAGAGAGAGAAAGCGAGUGAGGGAAAUGGAAAUAGUAAAAUGGACAAAGAGCAAAGUAAUUGUGAGUGAGAUGGUAACUGCCUUCUGUUUUCAAAUAGGCCGUGGGAUCUUCGACGUCCGAAUGAAGGCAGACGGGGUCUCGGUUUCAAGACUCAAUAAAUACAUUCCUAGAUAUAUACAUACAUGCAUACACACACACACACACACACACGCACACACACACACACACACACACACACACACAUGUAGCAACAGAAAAACUAAUACAGUUCAGAUACGAACGGGAUAGCAAUGACGUGACCCAGUUCAGUUGGCCCGGAGAAGACCGAGGAAGGCUCAAUUGUAGCCAACAGGGCAACGAGAAUACCAGCGUUUUUAACUCCACACCAACUUUGGAGUUUAGCAUAACAGUUGAGACAAAACGAUUGCGGAGAUUGCAAGGUUUUUUUUUUAAAAAAUGUUUGUUUACUGGGAAGAUUAAAAGAGAAAAGCCAAUGAGAGAGAAGAUGUCACUUCAUGGCUGAGUUCAAUGUCUGUUUCAAAAUUAAUAUCAAUUUCACGCAACAAAAAAUGCCCCAAUCGAACUAAGUAUAAACUAUUAUUUAAUGUAUUGCAGGUAAUCAAACGAAACCGUCACCCCCAGUUGUUAUCCUCACACAGCCUUCCUCUGAAGAUAUCACAAUGCAUAAACCGGUAACUGCUGUCUGCUUAAUAUCCGGUUUCCAUCCGGACAAACUGAGUGUUAAAUGGCUGAAGGAUUGGCAGCCCAUCAUCUCAGGUAUUGUGACCUCUUCCUCGAUUAAAGAAGACAAUAUGACAUUCAGCACCAGCAGCCGCCUGACUGUCCCCGCCAGAGAGUGGAGGAGUGGCGUGGUUUACACCUGCCAGGUGUCCCAUGAACCCACCCAGACCAUCAUUGUCAAGAACAUCACCAAGUCCUCAGAGUGUGAGCUUCCCAUUGGAAGUGUCAAGGUCUCUUUGCUGCCACCCUCACAGCAACAGGUUUUGAUGGAAUCCUCUGUAACGCUGACAUGUGUUGUGGUUAAUGCACCUCCUGACGUCACCGUGACUUGGACACAAGGAAAUACACAUUUACAGUCUGGAAAUGGGAAACCGUCUGCUACUGAGCCUCAGGAAGUGAUCAGUAAAUUAAUCAUUUCUUCACAAGACUGGAACAGUGGGAAAGAAUUCUUCUGUGUUGCCAGCCAUGACGAUAUGCCAAAUCCAAUCAAAGAAAUGACAUUGAAGAGGAAAGUUGAGUACACAAAACAACCGUCGGUGUAUCUCCUCCUCCCCUCGGCAGAGGAAUUGUCUGCUCAGUACACUGUCACCCUCACUUGCCUGGUGAAGGACUUCGCUCCCAAAGAGAUCUUUGUGCAGUGGACUGUGAAUGACCAGGUGAUUGAUGCUAAGAACUUCAGGAACACUGAGGUGAUGGCAGACAGUGCAGAUCACAACUAUUCCAUGUACAGCAUGUUGUCCAUCUCAGCUGGAGAGUGGAACAGUGGUCUCUCCUACUCCUGUGUGGUCGGACAUGAAACCUUCCCACUGAAGACCCUGACCAGAACCGUUGAUAAAUCGAGCGAUUUCCCAAACGAGAUGAUGCGAGAAGGUUUUGAACAAGGUCCAAUUGACAACCUCUGGGCCACUGCUUCCACCUUCAUCAUCCUCUUCUUCCUGAGUAUGCUCUACAGCGCCGCCGUCACUCUGAUUAAGGUGAUGAGAUAUUCAUCGGACGUAAUUGAGAACAGUUCAAGAGCCUCCUUUAACCAGUUUGCCCCAAUGGUCCUACAAAUGAGGAAGCCACUCCGGCUGGUUUGUCAACAGCAGGGCCUAAAAUGA